rnacentral:rRNA from 1 species
GGAGCGAAAGCGUGGGGAGCGAACAGGAUUAGAUACCCUGGUAGUCCACGCCGUAAACGAUGAGUGCUAAGUGUUAGGGGGUUUCCGCCCCUUAGUGCUGCAGCUAACGCAUUAAGCACUCCGCCUGGGGAGUACGGUCGCAAGACUGAAACUCAAAGGAAUUGACGGGGGCCCGCACAAGCGGUGGAGCAUGUGGUUUAAUUCGAAGCAACGCGAAGAACCUUACCAGGUCUUGACAUCCUCUGACAAUCCUAGAGAUAGGACGUCCCCUUCGGGGGCAGAGUGACAGGUGGUGCAUGGUUGUCGUCAGCUCGUGUCGUGAGAUGUUGGGUUAAGUCCCGCAACGAGCGCAACCCUUGAUCUUAGUUGCCAGCAUUCAGUUGGGCACUCUAAGGUGACUGCCGGUGACAAACCGGAGGAAGGUGGGGAUGACGUCAAAUCAUCAUGCCCCUUAUGANCUGGGCUACACACGUGCUACAAUGGANAGAACAAAGGGCAGCGAAACCGCGAGGUUAAGCCAAUCCCACAAAUCUGUUCUCAGUUCGGAUCGCAGUCUGCAACUCGACUGCGUGAAGCUGGAAUCGCUAGUAAUCGCGGAUCAG